rnacentral:rRNA from 1 species
UCAGUCAGCGCAGCGUAAUAAUAGAAACUAACCAGGAUUCCCUUAGUAACGGCGAGUGAACUGGGAUGCCAAUAUAUAAUAUGUACCUCGCGUGCAUAAAUUAGCCCGUCGAUACUAUCCUAGCGUAUGUCACCGGUCUUCGGGUCGGUACUCAAAUACGCGGGAAUUGUAGCAUCGUAAUAAUUAAAAAUAUAUAGCACACACACACACACACACACAUAAGAACCCACGCCAACCUGCGUACACCACUUGUAAACACACAGCGUCUCCGCGUUGGAAAGCAAGUAUAUAUCCUCUUUGGAUAUGCCAUAGAGUGUGACAGCCACGUUUCACCCAUAUGAUAGUUACGCACACACACACACAUACACCAAUGGCGCGGCGUGCGAGUGCACAACGUAUAUAUACUAUAACCUGAGUCGAGUUAUUUGGGACUAUAGCUCUAAUAGUUUGGUUGGUGGUAAUGACACAUCAAAGGCUAAAUAUUGGUUAGUCGAUGCAUAUUGCGGAGACCGAUAGCAUACAAGUACCGUAAGGGAACGAUGAAAAGCACCCUAUUGAGUUCACGGCGCAGACUCGACAUUCGUGUCUUGUCCAGCGCCCAACAACUACAGUGGGAGUGAAAGAGAGAGU